GAUACCCUAUUAUUUUAAGUGUAAUAUAUAAAUUAAAUUGAUUAUUAGCUAUGAUCUAUAAAGAUAAAAAAUUUGGCGGUAUUUUAGUCUUUUCAGAGGAACCUGUUUCUUUAUCGAUAAUCCACGAUUAUUAGUACUUUAGUUUUAAAUUUAUAUAUCGUUGUUUAUAAGAAUUUUAUUAGAAUUUAAAUUUUUGAGAUUUAUUAGUUAAGAAUAAUUCAAAUCAAGGUGUAGUUUAUAUUAAAGUGAAAAUGGGUUACAUUAUAAUUAUAUUUGGUUUUGUUUUUUAAAAAAAUAAUUAAAUUGGAUUUGAAAGUAAUUUUAUAUAUUUAUUAAUUUGAUUAAGCUCUAAAAUAUGCACACAUCGCC
rnacentral:rRNA from 1 species